rnacentral:rRNA from 1 species
GCAAGUCGAGGGGUAUGCUUCUUCGGAAGCAGAGACCGGCGCACGGGUGCGUAACGCGUAUGCAAUCUACCUUUCACAGAGGGAUAGCCCAGAGAAAUUUGGAUUAAUACCUCAUAGUAUAGCAGUUUCGCAUGAAACCACUAUUAAAGUCACAACGGUGAAAGAUGAGCAUGCGUCCCAUUAGCUAGUUGGUAAGGUAACGGCUUACCAAGGCAACGAUGGGUAGGGGUCCUGAGAGGGAGAUCCCCCACACUGGUACUGAGACACGGACCAGACUCCUACGGGAGGCAGCAGUGAGGAAUAUUGGACAAUGGGCGCAAGCCUGAUCCAGCCAUGCCGCGUGCAGGAUGACGGUCCUAUGGAUUGUAAACUGCUUUUAUACGAGAAGAAACCCUCCGACGUGUCGGAGCUUGACGGUAUCGUAAGAAUAAGGAUCGGCUAACUCCGUGCCAGCAGCCGCGGUAAUACGGAGGAUCCAAGCGUUAUCCGGAAUCAUUGGGUUUAAAGGGUCCGUAGGCGGUCAGGUAAGUCAGUGGUGAAAGCCCAUCGCUCAACGGUGGAACGGCCAUUGAUACUGUCUGACUUGAAUUAUUAGGAAGUAACUAGAAUAUGUAGUGUAGCGGUGAAAUGCUUAGAGAUUACAUGGAAUACCAAUUGCGAAGGCAGGUUACUACUAAUGGAUUGACGCUGAUGGACGAAAGCGUGGGUAGCGAACAGGAUUAGAUACCCUGGUAGUCCACGCCGUAAACGAUGGAUACUAGCUGUUGGGAGCAAUCUCA